AUUAAACGCUGGCGGCAUGCCUUACACAUGCAAGUCGAACGGUAGCGCGGGGCAACCUGGCGACGAGUGGCGAACGGGUGAGUAAAGCAUCGGAACGUGCCCUGGAAUGGGGGAUAACGUAGCGAAAGUUACGCUAAUACCGCAUAUUCUGUGAGCAGGAAAGCAGGGGAUCGCAAGACCUUGCGUUCUGGGGAGCGGCCGAUGUCGGAUUAGCUAGUUGGUGGGGUAAAAGCCUACCAAGGCGACGAUCCGUAGCGGGUCUGAGAGGAUGAUCCGCCACACUGGGACUGAGACACGGCCCAGACUCCUACGGGAGGCAGCAGUGGGGAAUUUUGGACAAUGGGCGGAAGCCUGAUCCAGCCAUGCCGCGUGAGUGAAGAAGGCCU
rnacentral:rRNA from 1 species